GGAUAACACUUGGAAACAGGUGCUAAUACCGUAUAACACUAUUUUCCGCAUGGAAGAAAGUUGAAAGGCGCUUUUGCGUCACUGAUGGAUGGACCCGCGGUGCAUUAGCUAGUUGGUGAGGUAACGGCUCACCAAGGCCACGAUGCAUAGCCGACCUGAGAGGGUGAUCGGCCACACUGGGACUGAGACACGGCCCAGACUCCUACGGGAGGCAGCAGUAGGGAAUCUUCGGCAAUGGACGAAAGUCUGACCGAGCAACGCCGCGUGAGUGAAGAAGGUUUUCGGAUCGUAAAACUCUGUUGUUAGAGAAGAACAAGGAUGAGGGUAGAACGUUCAUCCCUUGACGGUAUCUAACCAGAAAGCCACGGCUAACUACGUGCCAGCAGCCGCGGUAAUACGUAGGUGGCAAGCGUUGUCCGGAUUUAUUGGGCGUAAAGCGAGCGCAGGCGGUUUCUUAAGUCUGAUGUGAAAGCCCCCGGCUCAACCGGGGAGGGUCAUUGGAAACUGGGAGACUUGAGUGCAGAAGAGGAGAGUGGAAUUCCAUGUGUAGCGGUGAAAUGCGUAGAUAUAUGGAGGAACACCAGUGGCGAAGGCGGCUCUCUGGUCUGUAACUGACGCUGAGGCUCGAAAGCGUGGGGAGCGAACAGGAUUAGAUACCCUGGUAGUCCACGCCGUAAACGAUGAGUAUAGAGUGUUGGAGGGUUUCCGCCCUUCAGUGCUGCA
rnacentral:rRNA from 1 species